GUGUGCAGGGCCUGGGGGUUGUGUCAAGGAGCUUCAUUCCCCCGAGGUUCCAGUGAAACCGGAGGAGGGCCCAGGGUGGGAGAGACGUCAGGAGCAUCCGGUGAAGGGCGCCCGGCUCACCUGUCGGCUCAGGGGCUCCUCGAGUUCUCGGUGAACCCCGGGCGCUCUGUCUCAGACUUUCCUGCACAGCAAGCAGCGCUUGCGUCUUCGAUCCUAACCAAAGACCCUCAUGGAAUUCAGAGAAACUUUUUACCGUGUGAAACCAAAACUUCAGCUACUGUCAUUUUCCAACGCUCUUAGCUGGUGAUGUCAGAAGAAUCUUACAGGAAACACGCAGACGCCUGAAACCCGUAUCUUACCAUCAUCAUUCGGUACUUCUUACACAUCUGUCCACCCUUCCAUUCACCCACCGAUCUUGAUUUUUUAAAGAUCAUUUUAUUUAUUUUUGGCAGUGCUGGCUCUUGGUUGCAGAGGGCGGGGCUCCUCUCCAGUUGCGGUGCAUGGGCUUCUCGGUGCUGCGGCCCGCCUCGCUGAGGAGCACAUGCUCUGGGGCUCGGGGGCUUCAGCAGUUGCGGCCCCCAGGCUCUAGAGCACUGGCUCGGUGGUUAGGACUCCAGGCUUAGCUGCUCCACGGCAUGUGGGAUCUUCCUGGAUCAGGAUUGUGACCCCGUGUCUCCUGCAUUGGCACGUGGAUUCUUUACCCACUGAGUCACCAGGGAAGCCUCAUCUAUUACAAAAAUACUUUAAUAAAGUAAACUGCAGUCACCAGGAAACUUCCCCCUAAGAUUUUCAGCUUGCAUACAUUUUGCUAGAGGUGAAUAUUAAUUCACAGUUUGUUCCUUUGAUGUAAAAUUUACAAGGAAAUGCACACAUCUUUGGGUACAGUCUCCACUCUGCGUGACAGGCAUUCUGCCCCUGCAACCCCAAACCCAGCUGAGAUAGAACGUUACCAUCACCCCCAAAGUCUCCUUGUACCCCUUUCCAGACAAUCCCCGCUGCUAAGGAGACAGUAACUAUUGCUCUGAUCUGUAUGUUGCUGCAUAGUAUCCCUUUGUAGGGGUGUACCGGUUUAUUUUUCCUGUUGAUGAAUAUCUGGGCUGUUUCCAGUUUGGGGUUAUUAUGGAUAAAGCUGGUUAUGAGCACUCCUUUGUAUUUGCAUAGCUCUACAGAAUGACUUGAUCCUGGGCUAGAAUUCGAGUUAGGUUCCAAGAGUGCAGGAAGCAGCACAUAGUGGAAAGUACAGUAAGCCUCCUACGUGCAAACGAGCUCCAUUCUGAGAGCACAUCUAUUAAGUCCAACUUGUUCCUAAGGCCAACAGAGUUAGCCUAGGUACCAGCUACCACAGUCAGCUAUAUACUGCUGCUUUUACAUCUGCUUCUGGACACCCUGGGCUUGAAAUGAAGAUACUGUGCUGCUUUACUUUGGACAACACCGUACAGCAAGUACACAGCACAGCCACUUGCAGCGGACGCACGCGGGUGACGGCGCACACCAGACACGAGAGCGCGGCGGACGCACGCGGGUGACGGCGCACACCAGACACGAGAGCGCGGCGGACGCACGCGGGUGGCGGCGCACACCAGACACGAGAGCUGACAGGCAACUGGACGUGAGAGUGCAACUUCACAUCUGUGAAAAUUCAAAACUUGAAGUACACACAGAAAUCACCUGGAUGCCCACUGGCAGACGAGUGGAUAAAGGACAUGUGCGCAUCUGUGCAAUGGAAUAUUACUCAUCCAGAAAAAAAGAACGAAACGAUGCCAAGUGCAGCACCACGGAUGGACCUCGGGAUUAUUGUGCUAAGUGAAGUCAGAGAAAGACAAACACCCAUAUCACAUGUGGAUUCUAAACUACGACACAAACGAAGCUACCUAUGACAUGGAAAUAGACUCACAGACACAGAGAACAGACUGCUGUUGCCAAAGAGGGGCAGCGGAGGGAUGGAGUGGGAGGCUGGGUCAGCAGAUGUGACCUACUUAUACGGGAGGGACAAAGUCCUACUGCAGAGCACAGGGCACUAUAUUCAGUAACCCGUGGUAAACCACAGUGGAAAAGAAUAUGAAGAAGAAUGUCUGUAUUUUUAUAACUGAGUCACUGCUGUACAGCAGAAAUUAACAUUGUGAAGCAAGUACACUUCAAAAAAUGGAUAAGAAAACAAUUCUGGAGACUGGUUGCACAAUGAUGUGAUGGUACUUAACACUACUGAACUAUAUGCUUGAAAGUGGUUAAUUUUAUGAUAUGCGUAUUUUAUCACAAUUAAUAAAAACAAAACAACAAAAGAA
ensembl:lncRNA